GUGCCAGCAGCCGCGGUAAUACGAAGGGACCUAGCGUAGUUCGGAAUUACUGGGCUUAAAGAGUUCGUAGGUGGUUGAAAAAGUUAGUGGUGAAAUCCCAGAGCUUAACUCUGGAACUGCCAUUAAAACUUUUCAGCUAGAGUAUGAUAGAGGAAAGCAGAAUUUCUAGUGUAGAGGUGAAAUUCGUAGAUAUUAGAAAGAAUACCAAUUGCGAAGGCAGCUUUCUGGAUCAUUACUGACACUGAGGAACGAAAGCAUGGGUAGCGAAGAGGAUUAGAUACCCUCGUAGUCCAUGCCGUAAACGAUGUGUGUUAGACGUUGGAAAUUUAUUUUCAGUGUCGCAGGGAAACCGAUAAACACACCGCCUGGGGAGUACGACCGCAAGGUUAAAACUCAAAUGAAUUGACGGGGACCCGCACAAGUAGUGGAGCAUGUGGUUUAAUUCGAAGAUACGCGCAGAACCUUACCAACACUUGACAUGUUCGUCGCGACUCUAAGAGAUUAGAGUUUUCGGUUCGGCCGGACGAAACACAGGUGCUGCAUGGCUGUCGUCAGCUCGUGUCGUGAGAUGUUGGGUUAAGUCCCGCAACGAGCGCAACCCUCACUUUUAGUUGCCAUCAUUAAGUUGGGCACUCUGAAAGAACUGCCAGUGAUAAGCUGGAGGAAGGUGGGGAUGACGUCAAGUCCUCAUGGCCCUUACGUGUUGGGCUACACACGUGCUACAAUGGUAUCUACAACAGGAAGCAAGACUGCGAAGUUAAGCAAAUCCCUAAAAGAUACCUCAGUUCGGAUUGCACUCUGCAACUCGAGUGCAUGAAGCUGGAAUUACUAGUAAUCGUGGAUCAGCGUGCCACGGUGAAUGCGUUCCCGGGUCUUGUACACACCGCCCGUCACACCAUGGGA
rnacentral:rRNA from 1 species